GUUUUUUGCAAAGUAUUCGGUUCGCAAGAUUAAAAGGGAAUUCGGUGUAAGUCCGGAACUAUCCCCGUAGCUGUAAUCCCGAUACCAAUUAAGGUGUUGUAUUUUCAACAAAAACCACUGCAUUUUACUCCAAAAAGCGGGAAGGUGUUGAAAAUCGGGAAAGUCAGAAUACCUGCCGAACACUCAGUUAUCGU
rnacentral:ncRNA from 1 species